UCAUUAAACGCACGCCCGAUCUCGGAAUUAAUUAAUCCGGCAACCUUCCUUCGAGCCCUGGCUUCCCUGAGCUCGUCCGCGCUCGGACAAAACACAGGUUGUUACAAGACUCAUACCAAAACGUUGGAAUACAGAAGAAGGAAAACGACAUAUAAAAACCGUACCCGUCAAACUUUGUCGAUCGGAAGCGAAUCAGCAUACCAAGCACCCCGAUGGUCUUUUUUGUCAUGCCAUUCACGUUUUAGAGACAGUCGCAUCAGUAUUGAGUCCUGACCAAGUGGUUUUUUUAUUAUAGGAUGAUAAAUCAAAAGUUUCUAUCGGUUUUACUGCAGCAAAGAGACAAGCUCCUAUGUUGAUGCACAUGCAAUAUCGAGUCAGUCUCCCCGAUCACGAUUGGGUGAUAGCUGAGCGUCAUAAGUUAAUUCUAUCCGUAUACGCGGGAAUUAUAAUUCAGCCAGAUGGCAAUGGACGGCCAGAAUCCGUCUUAUAUUUGGGACCGACGUAUAUAGCUAUCCGGAGCGGAAAACAUUUUUUGUUGACAACUGAAACGCAUGCAGUUGAUCUACGACUUUUAGAACUAGAAAGCUUCUAAUCGCUCGUAAAAUCUAGAGAAGUACAAUGAAACCAGUCAUGAUAAUCACUGUAGAUGGAGGUCCAGAUGAAAAUCAAAGAUAUACGCAAGUAAUUGCUAAUGCAAUUAAACAUUUUAAGGAAUUUAAUUUGGAUGCACUAUAUAUUGCCACAAAUUCACUUGGUCAAAGUGCAUACAACAGAGUAGAGAGGCGAAUGGCUCCACUCAGCAAUCAACUCACUGGAGUCAUCCUUCCAUAUGAUCAUUUUGGGACUCAUUUUGAUUCAAGAAAUAGAACAAUGGAUAAAGAUUUAGAAUUAAAGAAUUUCGCUUACACAGGGGAAAUACUUGCAGAAAUAUGGAGUUCCUCAUAAUCGAUUCUCAUCCAAUACAUGCAGAAUAUGUCCCUCCACAGAGCAUGAAACACCGACUAUCCCUGAUGCCGUCUGGUACUCUUUCCAUGUUCGAGAAUUGCAAUACUGUCUGCAAAUAGUGAAAUGUAAGAAUGUUUAAUGUCGUGGCACUAGGCGUAGCAGUCUGUCGAUGCUCUUAAAAUCAGGAUUUUUGCCUCCUCCAGCACCAAUAACGCAAUCAUUAUUAGGACUUCGUGUGCCACUUUUCGAAGAAAAUGUUAAUAAAUUUGCUCCACUCUUGCUUCGUAUUGCUCUGAAUGUGCAAUCAGAUCAGAAAAAUUUUAAACAAAUUCUAUACGACAUGUUUUGUCUAUCUGUUUGAUCACCUUUGUAACAGAAUUUGUAAGAAAUGCGAGUUGUAUCAUGCUUUUGUUAAGUCAGCUAAUAAUCACAGUAAAGAAAUUUAUAAAAAGGAAAAAAAAACAACCAAAAAGCCGAAAAAAUAAUAGCUGAUCGAAAACGAGAGCUAUUAUGUGUUAUGAAGGUGUUACGUCCCGACCGAGCGCGGUCGCCGUUGAGCAGAAUACGCGCGUUUCGGCGAAACUGGCUGUUUCAAAGCCUAAGCUUCAGGGGCUCCACAGCCCAGGAGCGGAUCGCGUGGCCGGAUUUACCGGCGGACGGGCCCGAUUUUCCGCGGCCAAUGGCCUAGUGAGGGGAGUUUUGUAACCUCAGAGGGUGUGCCGCGAGAGCGCGAGUAUGAUGGCGUAGGAAUCGUUCCAGGGAUCUCCUUCUCGGAUUAAAUAAGUUAUGAAUUCUUCCAACUCGUGGGGGCAACGGUCACAAUCGAGAGGGUGGCGGCGAGCAGCUACGAGCACGCGGCAAGAAUCGCACUUUUGCGGAUUGUAUGGAUGGCCAAGAUAGAUAUAGUGUGUAAUUACCCCGAGAUAAUUUCCUUUCUUAGUGCUCGAGUGUUUGCUUUUACACUCGAGGCAUAAUACCGUUGAUUCGUUGUCGUUGCAAAAAUACAGAGAGGUUACGCACUGGGCACUGCGUAACCAUAUACCGAACGAGCGAUUCGCUUCGCGUUGGGCACGGACCGAGAAAAUGGCAAUGCGCUGCGGUGGGCACAUACUCUAAUUUACCGUGUACUUAUUAUUCUUCAGGGCAUAAACAUGUGCACGUCUCGUCGAUCUCUAUUAUGGUGGGCUCGUUGUUAAGGUAUGGCUUGUUUUCUGAGUCGUACAAAUGACGCGCGAGGUCGUUCAGUGCUUCGUAGCACUCGACUCAGUCAACCGCGGUCUCCGGAAAUGAGAUUAAACGAUUGCAGGACGAGCAGCGUAUGACUUCUUCGUCCCCGCCGACAAUUAAAUAGUGACGCGUGACUGAGUUGUAAAAUACGCGGUCGCGAAGGGGGAGGUUAUUUUGGCACUUGUCGCAAAUGAUAGUGUGAUUAAUUUGGUGCUGAUGGAAGGUGGCCAGGCUACACAACGCGGAGUUAAGCCAAUUGAAGUACGGGGCUUGGGUUGAAAAAUACGUGUUAUGUGACAUGCCUCAUUGGACGUUGCGACUUAGCUUUUAGAAUGACGGUUGCUGUUGAGACUGUUGCCUCUGCCUUGGUGGCCGCUCUGGUCAGGUGAUGAUCGUCCUCGUCCUUCUCGGCUGUCCUUUUGAACUUUAAUGAAUCUGCUCAAUUUAUUGAGACUAAAAAAAGCCAGAUUUAUGUUGAAUUUGUUCGUGAAAUAUUUGAACUUGUCAGAAAUUGUAGGAACAUAUGGCAAUAAGAACCAUGGAGAUUUUUUAUUUUUGGUGUCGGUAUCAUUGUUAGUGUCUGUAUGUUUGCUUAGAUUAAUAAGAUGUUUAAUGCGGCUAUUGAUUGUCUCAAAAAUAAAUCCAGCAGGAUAGUCAUUCAUAAAAAGGGUAUUUACGAUAAGCUCAAAAUUCUUUCUGUGGAAUUUAGGAUCUGACAAUAAAAAUGCUCUGUCAACCAUGCCCAAAAUUGUUCCUCUUUUCUGUGAUAAAGGGUGGGCUGAUAAAAAAUUCAGGUAUCUCCCUGAAAAUGUAUUUAUGAUACCAAUCAAAAAUUAAGGAAUCUUCGUAUUUUAUCAUAGUGAUGUCUAAAAAGUUUAUUUUAUCACCCCCUAUUUCCAAUGUAAAUUGCAUACGCGGGUGAAAGGAAUUGAACGUAUUUAAGGUGAGAUCAAUUAAAUUAUCUGGGACAGCCAUCACUAUGUCAUCUACAUAUCUAAAAUAAAGAGGUAAAUGUAUUCCAAUUUUGUUUAAAGCCCAUUGUCAAUUUCACCGACACGACAACGGGCAAUGCUUCCACGGCGGAUUUGGCAAACCGUUGGUGACUCAUUUCAUUCCCGGUAACGGACUGAUGACGAUUAGAACAGCCACUUGUAAUUGCGUUGAAAAUGACGAUUUAAAUUAAUUUUUUCCUUUUGUAAUUCGCUGAAGAGUGCUCCAAAGAGAGCCGAAACGUUCGAUUUUUUUUUUUUAAUUCAUCAUGAAUAAAUAACUAUUUAAACACUGAUUGUGUCUUGCGCUCUUAUACCCGCGCUGACUCUUACUAGCCUGUUUUAGCCGUUUAAUUUGUGUGAAAUUUAAUUGUUUUAUAAUAAAUAUAAGCACUAAAAUCUAGCUGCAACCGAAGAAGGCUUUCUUACUACCAUUGUGUUGUUAAUACACUAUCGGUCCAAAACAUAUUUAUAAUUUUAAUUGUUUUAAUCCAACUUUUUUAGAUAUUAAAAGUUUAAUAAACAGAUGGUUCUGUAGCCAAAGCGUACAACUAACCAAAAUAAGUACACAAUUAGAAGAAAUUUAUAAUAUUUUGCAAAAAAGAAAAUAGGCAUCUUCUCCGAGAUCUGUAAUACUGGAAAUUUUACGGAAAAGUACCAAAUAGAUUGACCAUUUAAAAAUUUAGAAGAUUUCCAGAAUUUUGACAGGAAAUUGAAAACGGAUACAAAAUUUCAAGAAGACGUUAAGUUUAAUAUAUGGACAUUAGUCGAUUCAAAAUCUUUACUUACCCACACUGUAAGAAACAUUUUAAAACGUUACAUGUCAAGAAAUGUGAUACAAAAAUAUACUGCUGUGAAAGAAACGGCAACGAAACUCACUUUCCAGCAAACGAACUUUUUUUCCUGUAUUCAAGAUAUUAUAGUUGCGGAAUAUAGAAAUAACCCAAAAACUUCGCCAGUUACCGCCAAAAGUUUUUAUAAAAGUGUGGGCGCAGUCAUUAAUGGUGUAAAGGACUGGGAAGGUUAUCGUUCAAUCCAAACCAAGAAAGGAAAUGUUAUGUGAUAGAGUGUAGUAAAUAGAGUGUAGUAUUUUCAUUGCUCAUACCAAAGUGUUACUUUAUCGUUUUAUAUAUAUUUCAUCAAUAAAUAAAUAAUGUAAAUUAAAAAAUCUAAUAUCAAUCCAUAAACCUUCUUCCUUCCUUUACAGUACCUUAUCGAGACCCUAUAAGAAUUGCGUUACUAGGGCCUGAUCAGGAAACUGCUAUCAGGGCCAUAUAGAACACGACGUUACAUUUUUGAUAAGGCGCCAUGUCAGGCUGCCUCAACAAGACCUGAUCGGG